AUGGGAAUUCUUCAGUUUGUAUCACUGUGCCACACGUUUGGAGGAGGAACCAGACUGGAAGUUAACGUGGGUCAAGUGCCUCCAUCACUGAUGGUUGUACCCCCCUCCAGUGAGGAGCUGAAGCAGGGGACGGUUACCCUCAUGUGUCUGGCCAACAAGGGCUUCCCCUCAGACUGGACUCUGUCCUGGAAGCUGGAUGGCAGCAGCAGCAGCAGCAGCUGGGAGCAGAGCAGGAGCUCCGGGGUGCUGCAGAAUGACGGCCUCUACAGCUGGAGCAGCACCCUGAGGCUCCCUGCAGACCAGUGGAGGAAGGUGGGCUCUGUGACCUGUGAGGCCUCCCAGGGCUCCCAGUCUGCAGUCACAGAGACACUGAGGAGAGACCAGCAUUCCCAGUCCUGAGCUGACAUGCUAGAAGAUGGGAACUAUUGCUUUUUCACUGCUUUCUGUUCUUUCUAUAUCUUCAAAAGCUUCUUUUCAUUUGAUGCCUUCUUGCUUCUUGUUGCCAUCCUGGUUGAUUUAAAAUCUUAAAGCAAUAAAAUUCAUCAACACAUCAACGUGUUUUGUCUGAGUUAUGUAUUUCAAUGGAGAA